CACACCGCCCGUCACACCAUGGGAGUUGGUUUUGACCUGAAGACGGUGCGCUAACCCCGCAAGGGAGGCAGCCGGCCACGGUCAGGUCAGCGACUGGGGUG
rnacentral:rRNA from 1 species